rnacentral:rRNA from 1 species
GACGAACGCUGGCGGCGUGCUUAACACAUGCAAGUCGAACGGAAAGGCCCUGCUUUUGUGGGGUGCUCGAGUGGCGAACGGGUGAGUAACACGGGAGUAACCUGCCCUUGACUUUGGGAUAACUUCAGGAAACUGGGGCUAAUACCGGAUAGGAGCUCCUGCUGCAUGGUGGGGGUUGGAAAGUUUCGGCGGUUGGGGAUGGACUCGCGGCUUAUCAGCUUGUUGGUGGGGUAGUGGCUUACCAAGGCUUUGACGGGUAGCCGGCCUGAGAGGGUGACCGGCCCCAUUGGGACUGAGAUACGGGCCAGACUCCAACGGGAGGCAGCAGUGGGGAAUAUUGCACAAUGGGCGGAAGCCUGAUGCAGCAACGCCGCGUGCGGGAUGACGGCCUUCGGGUUGUAAACCGCUUUCGCCUGUGACGAAGCGUGAGUGACGGUAAUGGGUAAAGAAGCACCGGCUAACUACGUG